GAAUUUUCUAACUCUUUGUGAGUUUUUGUUCUUGUUUUUGGAGGAUUUCCAAAACAAGGAAAGGUUGAUCCGAACCUGAAAUCGGAGUGUUUUGGGUUUACUUGUACCCGGAAAACAAGUGAUCUAGCUUGGGAUAGCUAGUGUCAGAGUUUCCGACGUUUUGUAUUCGGGUUGAAUACAAAGGAUAGUGGAUUGAAAUUCCCAAGUAGGAUCUUGGGGAGUGGAUGUAGGUGCAAGGUUAGCACCGAACCACUAUAAAUUCUUGUGUUUGUGGUGUGCUUUAUCACUUUAUCUUAUUUC
rnacentral:lncRNA from 1 species